UACAGAGGGUUCGAGCGUUAAUCGGAAUUACUGGGCGUAAAGCGCACGUAGGCGGCUUUGCAAGUCGGUUGUGAAAUCCCCGGGCUCAACCUGGGAACUGCAUCCGAGACUGCAUUGCUAGAGUAUGGGAGAGGAAAGCGGAAUUUCUGGUGUAGCAGUGAAAUGCGUAGAUAUCAGAAGGAACAUCAGUGGCGAAGGCGGCUUUCUGGACCAAUACUGACGAUCAGGUGCGAAAGCGUGGGGAGCAAACAGG
rnacentral:rRNA from 1 species